GUUGGAUACGGUGGUGCUGUUCCAAAAUCAAUAACUGGAAAAGUGGUUGAUGCAUGUGCUGUAUGUGGUCUUCUAGUAAUCGCAAUGCCAAUUACAACUGUUGCUUCUAAA
rnacentral:sRNA from 1 species